rnacentral:snRNA from 1 species
AAACAUAGAUGUGAGGCACUAUGAUCUGGAGAAUGAUUUUCCCAGUGAUAGACAUCCUUUACACUUUGGGUGUGCUGACGCUGUGUUUUUCCCAAAUGUGGGUAACACAGCCACAUAAUUUGUGUGUCUUUUUGUGUACACAGGU